GAUGAAGAACGCAGCGAAAUGCGAUACGUAGUGUGAAUUGCAGAAUUCAGUGAAUCAUCGAAUCUUUGAACGCACAUUGCACCUCUCGGUAUUCCGGGAGGUAUGCCUGUUCGAGCGUCAUUUGUACCCUCAAGCUCUGCUUGGUGUUGGGUGUUUGUUCCGCCUCUGUGUGUGAACUCGCCUCAAAACAAUUGGCAGCCGGCGUACUUGUUUCGGAGCGCAGCACAUUUUGCGAUCCAGAUCAACGUACAGCGGCAUCCAAGAAGCCUUAUUUAACGCUCUUGACCUCGGAUCAGGUAGGGAUACCCGCUGAACUUAAGCAUAUCAAUAAGCGGAGGAA
rnacentral:misc_RNA from 1 species